AUCUAUGGUAAUAAUACCCUGAAUGUGCCCAAUCUUGUCUGGUCUCAGAAACUAAGCAGGGUCUUGCCUGGUUAGAAUUUGGAUAGGAGAAGCAUGGGAAUAACAGCUGCUGUGGGUU
rnacentral:rRNA from 1 species